ACUCCGAACCUGGAAAUUAAGCAGUCGCGGGCCACAUCAGUACUGGGCUGGGCGACUUCCCGGGAACGUGCGGUGCUUGCUUCUU
rfam:Trichomonas vaginalis G3, whole genome shotgun sequence.